UGAACCUUUAAUCCAGUCCCGUGAGGCUGAGAAGGAAACGGAAAUGAUCGUAAUCACUUUGACAAGAUAUGCUUUCGAAAUGAAUCCUCUCAUCCUGACGAUGAGAGUUUUUUUUGU
rfam:Bacillus smithii strain DSM 4216, complete genome.